UACAGAGGGUGCGAGCGUUAAUCGGAAUUACUGGGCGUAAAGGGCGUGUAGGCGGCUUUUCAAGUCGGGCGUGAAAUCUCCGGGCUUAACCUGGAAGGGUCGUUCGAUACUGUUGAGCUAGAGUGUGGAAGAGGCGAGUGGAAUUCCUGGUGUAGCGGUGAAAUGCGCAGAUAUCAGGAGGAACACCAAUUGCGAAGGCAGCUCGCUGGGACGUUACUGACGCUGAGACGCGAAAGCGUGGGGAGCGAACAGG
rnacentral:rRNA from 1 species